rnacentral:rRNA from 1 species
CGGUAACAUUUCUAGCUUGCUAGAAGAUGACGAGUGGCGGACGGGUGAGUAAUACUUAGGAAUAUGCCUUUGUGUGGGGGAUAACCAUUGGAAACGAUGGCUAAUACCGCAUAACGUCUUCGGACCAAAGGGGGCCUUGGCUCCCGCGCAAAGAGUAGCCUAAGCGAGAUUAGCUUGUUGGUGAGGUAAAGGCUCACCAAGGCGACGAUCUCUAGCUGUUCUGAGAGGAAGAUCAGCCACACUGGAACUGAGACACGGUCCAGACUCCUACGGGAGGCAGCAGUGGGGAAUAUUGCACAAUGGGGGGAACCCUGAUGCAGCCAUGCCGCGUGUGUGAAGAAGGCCUUCGGGUUGUAAAGCACUUUCAGUUGUGAGGAAAGGUUAACGGUUAAUACCCGUUAGCUGUGACGUUAGCAACAGAAGAAGGACCGGCUAACUCCGUGCCAGCAGCCGCGGUAAUACGGAGGGUCCGAGCGUUAAUCGGAAUUACUGGGCGUAAAGCGCACGCAGGCGGUUUGUUAAGCUAGAUGUGAAAGCCCUGGGCUCAACCUGGGAAUUGCAUUUAGAACUGGCAGGCUAGAGUUUUGGAGAGGGGAGUGGAAUUCCAGGUGUAGCG